CGUAGGGUGCAGGCGUUAAUCGGAAUUACUGGGCGUAAAGCGUGCGCAGGCGGUUUCUUAAGUCAGAUGUGAAAGCCCCGGGCUUAACCUGGGAACUGCGUUUGAAACUGGGAGACUCGAGUGUGGCAGAGGGGGGUGGAAUUCCACGUGUAGCAGUGAAAUGCGUAGAUAUGUGGAGGAACACCGAUGGCGAAGGCAGCCCCCUGGGUUAACACUGACGCUCAUGCACGAAAGCGUGGGGAGCAAACAGG
rnacentral:rRNA from 1 species